UACGUAGGUCCCGAGCGUUGUCCAGAUUUAUUGGGCGUAAAGCGAGCGCAGGUGGUUUAUUAAGUCUGGUGUAAAAGGCAGUGGCUCAACCAUUGUAUGCAUUGGAAACUGGGAGACUUGAGUGCAGAAGAGGAGAGUGGAACUCCAUGUGUAGCGGUGAAAUGCGUAGAUAUAUGGAAGAACACCAGUGGCGAAAGCGGCUCUCUGGUCUGUAACUGACGCUGAGGUUCGAAAGCGUGGGUAGCAAACAGG
rnacentral:rRNA from 1 species